AAGUCGUAACAAGGUUUCCGUAGGUGAACCUGCGGAAGGAUCAUUAUUGAAUAGGCUCAUACACCGUGAACUGUCCCUCCGGGGGUUACACAAACUCGUUUUGUCGUCUAUGAAUGUGUUACUUGUAACAAAUAUAACUUUCAACAACGGAUCUCUUGGCUCUC
rnacentral:misc_RNA from 1 species